rnacentral:lncRNA from 1 species
AGCAUUGUUCUCCCUUGUUGGUGUGUUGUCAUCUUCAUGAAUCCAGAAAAGACUCUGGGACGCUAUUCUAGCAAAUGAGUAACUAUCAAAAUGUAUCAUGAGCUUUCACGGGGUCAGAGAGAACAGGGUAUAAAAGGAAUCAUAACAGAAAACACACAGGAACAUGCAGGCACACACUGCUGCUAGAAGCAAUGAUCACAGGAACAAUGAGUUUCUUCAAAAGAAAAAAACAGGGCUCACAUCACAAGGGUCUAAGGAGUUCCAGAAUCGGCCUGCAAUUGAACUGACUUCUUCCAAGUACUACUCCACUGAAUAAUGGGGAAAAGGACAUUAAACACAAUACAGAGACUUCAUUGUGUCCUGGACGUUCUCUGAAGAUAACGGGAGCAACGACCUCAGCAGUACCCAGAAAACAAAUUAUUGGGAAGAAAACAUAGAGAACCAGAGUGAGAACCUGUGUUCACUGAGGGAAUUGUAUCUGCACAUGAGAGGCUGAGGCAGGAGGAUCAUUCGUUUGAGAUGAGCUUUAAUUCCACAAGGAGUUAAGUGCCAGCCUGGACUACAAAGAAAGAGUCUCUGUAUCAAGAAAUGAGAAUAAUUAAUGAAUUCCAGUAGCACCCUUUCCAUUUCUUCAAGUUGAUGUUAAGGGGGCAGUGUUGUUAUAAUAAACUGCUUUUUGUUUUUCUUUUCCUGCCAUGGGAGUAGAGACUAUUUCAACUAUUCUCUGAAGAAUUAUAAACAUGGAGGUGCCAAAAACAAUGGGAGGAUUAUAUGCAAACAUUAAAAAAAAUGUGACCAGGUGGAAAGACUCAUGAGGGGGAAGAGUUGGUAUUCAAAUCAAAAGCAGCCAGUUUCUGGGCAGCGGACCUUCCUAUGCUGCUACUGGCCUGAGCAAAGGAGGUGUUACUUUGGAGAAAUUCUGAUAGGCUUGAUGUAUAUCGGAACUUUGUAGCAUAAACCUUAUACAUGCUAGCCAUUCAGGGAAUUUAGUAUGAUCAUCUAAGGGAGAACUAACAAAUCACACUUCAAGAAUUGAAGCUGCAUUUGUAGACUCUUUAAUUGUUAGAGGCUUCAGAAAGACCUUGCACAUUUCCGCUGACCCCAGAGGCAAGGUGACGAAGAAUUCAUAGACUCAGAACUCUGAGUGAGCAACUAUAUUAAAGAAAUGAAAGGUACAUUGUGUCACUGGAGUUAAUCAAGAAAGAAUGCUCAAAGCAUCUAUCUGCAGAGCAUCUUCCAGCUCUUGUACAGAGGCUGGCAUAGGGGAGACUUACUCAGCCUUGAUGUUAUUCUGAGUUUGGGAAAGCUUCAGCAAGCAGAUAAGAGAGAUUUUUAAUUAGGAAACGAAGUAGUCACAAUAGAGGAAAGAAAUUACAGUGUCCGCCAAGCUUUCACGUCCGCGGUUUUAAUUUUCUUUAUGUAUUCCCUUUCAUAGAUUAUUACAAAAGUUAAUUUCAGCGGAUGCCUUUAGCGUGUCAAGCUUUUCAAAAUGUAGAAUUAUCAACCUUCAGGUAAAUGAAGUUUCGUUGUGUUAUGUUAAAUAUCAACCUUUUUUUUUUUUGUACCUGAGUGGAAAUAAGAUCGCCAUUUGCAAAUUUAAAGUUCUACCAUUCUGUCAGUACUUAUCAUUUUCUGCCCUUAGUGAAGCGUUGCUUGGCUCCAGUUUACUUUUGAGGGAAAAAAAUCACGUGUUUUUAUUUAAAAAUAAGAGACAAGGACUGGAGAGAUGGUUUAGAGGUUAAAAGCAUUGGUAGUUCUUCAAGAAGUCCUGAGUUCAAAUCCCAGCAACUACAUGGUGUAUCACAAGCAUUUAUCUGUGAUCUGAGGCUAUCUUUUGGCAUGCAGGUAUACAUGUAGGCCCAACACUGUAUACAUAAUUAAUAAGUCUCCUGGCACAUAUAUAGCAGAAGCCUGCCUUGUCUGGCUUCAGUGGGAGAGGAUGUGCAAUUCCUGUAGAGACUUGAUACCCCAAGCUGGGCGAUACUUUGAUGCUCUCAGAGACCAAAGGGAGGAGGAAUAGGGGAGAAAGAAUUCUGCAAGGGGAGACCCUGAAAAGGGGCAACAUUCAGGAUGUAAGUAAAUAAUUAAUUAAUAAAAAAGAAAGAAAGAAAAGAAGAGAGAGGGGGAGAGAGGGAGG